ACGAAGCCGAGCUCUACCAGUAACAAAAAUGGCGUCAUUCCGCCAGCGCCAGGACCUCUGUCGCUGGCCGUGGUCUCGCACUGCUUCUGGAGGCUCCCAUUCCAGCCAGAGGAGAGGUGCGUUUGGGGGCCCGGGGGAGUCCUCGUGAUAUCUCCGAGUUUGGGUAUUCGGAAUUGAUCCUACGAAAGCAGUGUGAGGCUUGGAAGGGCCGCGACUUGUCCGGGCCUAACACCCUACAUGACUGCAUGGGAGAUACGGCCUAUAAGAAGAUGAUUAAGGUUAAUGAUGUCAGAAGGUGGAACCCUGAUUGGAGACAAGUGUAAGAGACCCAAGAGAUUCUCUCUCCGCCAUGUGAUGACACAGCAUGAAGGC
rnacentral:lncRNA from 10 species